AACAAACAAAAAAAUUGCAAGAAGCAACCAAGAAACUUACUUUUUGCCAGUGGUCAGGUCAAGGACCAUGAAAGUAAGGAAGAGUUAAUAAGAAAGCAAUGGGGCUUCACGAGGAGGAGGCUGUCUCACGAUUCUACGUUUUACGUUAAAGGACUGUUCACAUUCCAUUCCAUGGUGUGUCCUUGUCCUGGAGGACUUUCAUUUCAGUAACAGGUGACAGGAACACAUCUGGUGCUGCCUGAGUGAAAUGGCAUCUCAGAAAUGGUGCCCCAGUGAAGGAAGGUCUAUCUUUUUCUUGGCCCUUUCCUGGUAACGUGAAGGAGUGAUUCCUACGUUAGUAGUUCACAUUUUCUUAGCUCUACCAGACCACUAUGAUAAGGAUCUUUGCUAUUUACCUGAUGACUGUUAGGAAUCCACUAUCUCUUACCUAGACGUCUGGACAGUUGAAAAUCUUAGCUGAAAGUAUUUUUUUUCCCCAAUACUGUGCCAGGUCGACAGAUGAUAUUAGCAACUAGCCCAAAGAUCAAAUAGUCAAGUGAAAACAGAUUAGUAAAAUGGUGUUUAAAUCUGCCUAGGCAAUGUGACCAUUAGAACUAUGUAUUUGCAUGGUUACUGUUAAGAGUUCGGUGAAACAAACCAUCAGGAUAAUUUGGCUAAGGGUAAUUUGCUGAGUUUAGAUGACAGAGCUUAUGCAAAGCAGUGUGCCUGAGUGGUCAUUUGUGGCCAGAGAAACCCCUUUUCAUAAGGAACUAUUGGUACUGAACUUUUGAAUUGCUCUGAAGCUGUUACCACAUCAUUUUGACCUGACUUUAUUGCAGGUAUUAUUUUCCUUUCCACAUCUUGAUAGGCUUAGAAACUGCCCCAGGGCCAUUAUUUCAAAGGGGAAAUUUCUCUUCCAUCCUGUCUGUGAUGUCUCUUUGCUCAGGGCUCUAGUUUUUGUGAAACAGAGGCAUGCAGUAACUUCAGUCUGAUCCUCUCUCUGAGGUAUAUAAUGUGUUUUCUCCUAAUUCACUGAGUUCCAUCAGGGUUGUUUCCUGCCAGAAUUAUUUGGCAAGAAUCCGCUGAAGAAUUAUUUUCAGAUUUGUUUGUAGUUACUAGAUUCAAUGGCAAUUUCCUGCAUCUCCUGGCAAAUCAAAGAUUUUCUUGGAGGGGCCAAGGCCCGAGCUGCAAGGUGUAUUUCUACAAGUAAAUGCAAGAAGUCUGGGCACAGCAUGGAGGAAGAUGCUUGGGGUCCAGUUCUGAAAAUCUUCCCAGUCAAUUUGACAAUUUUGAUCCAGCACUGGCUCAGUGAAAAGAACCAAGGCACAAGACAUGUGUUCUGCCCUCUACGGGGCCAUAAUUAGAAAGUGUGUUACAGGAGAGAGAGGGAAGCAGCUGUCACAGAAUCAGUACCAGCCCAGAGCUUUGGCCAUGUAGAGAGAUGAGUUAUGGCUGGGGGAUCCGGGAGGAGUCAUGGAGGGAAUGGAAUCGACUUGGGCUUGCAAAGCUGAGGAAGACCUCAGUGAGCACAAAGGAGAAUCUCAGCAGAGGAGUCAGGAUAGGGUGGCCAACUUGUCACAGUUUUCCUAGCACUUUCCCAGUUUUAGCAGUGAAAGCUCCCAUCCUAGGAACCCCUCAAUCCCAAGCAAAGUGGGAUGGUCAGCCACCCUAGGCAGGAAGGCAGAGCGAGUGGCUACCUCAACCUGUAGGAGGGAUGGCAGGGAGGCUUUUUUUUUUUUUAAUGUAUUAACAGCUUUUAAACCAAUCUUUGGAAAAUGAAUAAUUCCAGCUUAGCUAUAUAGCCUAUAAUACUUUGAAAUUUCCCAUCUACUGGGAAUUCAGUGUGAAUGAUGGGCUUAAGGUUCUGGAAGGUCACCAUACAUUUGAGUGAGAUUUUGUCAUGAGUUCCCCUUAAUGCCCUCUUUUGUCCAAGUGGCCUCAAAAUUAAUGACAGUGAGUAUUCCCCAAGAGUCUGGGUCCUGUGGAGAGAGUUAUUCUGUGACUGUGACCAUCUUUUCUGAGCUUCAUUUUCUCUCUCUACAAGGAGAAAUUAUUUUCUCCUAUAAUGGAUUUCUAAAAUAUUUUAAAUGAAUGGGUGCCUAGACCCUUGGACUUUUGAAACUCCAGGUAUACUUAGAGGUCUGAAAUAUUAGAAAAUGCCCUAAUCUUUAUAUAGCAUUUACUCCAAGUUUUUAUUUUGUUUUGUUCUGCCUUGUACAUAUUAAAUAUAUAAAUCUAUUAUUUAUAAAUUUAUAUUUAUUUUAACAAUAUAUUUCAUUUAAAUAAAUAAAUAAAUAUAUAUCAUUCAAAUAAAUCUUUUUUUUUAAGAUUUUGAUGUGGACCACUUUUUUUUUUUUUUUUUGUGAUACGCGGGCCUCUCACCAUUGUGGCCUCUCCCGUUGUGGAGCACAGGCUCCGGACGCGCAGGCUCAGUGGCCAUGGCUCACGGGCCCAGCCGCUCCGCGGCAUGUGGGAUCUUCCCGGACCGGGGCACGAACCCGUGUCCCCUGCAUCAGCAAGCAGAUUCUCAACCACUGCGCCACCAGGGAAGCCCAUGAUGUGGACCACUUUUAAAGACUUUAUUGAAUUUGUUACAAUAUUGCUUCUGUUUUAUGUUUUGUUUUUUUGGCCGUGAGGCAUGUGGGGAUCUCAGCUCCUUGACCAGGGAUCGAACCUGCACCUCCUGCAUUGGAAGGCGAAGUCUUAACCACUGGACUGCCAGGGAAGUCCUCCCUUGCUCCCAGAAGGACUAUAGAUGGAAUAGCUCUGCUAGAGAUUUCAUGAUCUAAACGGUCACUUAUGAAACUUAAUAAAAAGGAGAAUUGAAUAUAAGAAUACCAAAUUGCAGCUGAGUAUUUACUUACAAUAAUAAAAUUAUCUCUCUUUUAUAGAAGAUUCACUGAGUAGUAGGAACUAGCAGUGAUUGAUGCUUUUACAUCUUUGCCACAGUUAAAUGAGCACAAUUUAAUUUUGGAACGCAGCGUCUUAAACGUUUUAUAUCCUUCCCACCCCAAGUACUUUGGCAGAUUUAACUUGGGCUAAAGUUGAACUCCCCUCAGUUGGAGCCUGGGGUUACGUGACCACAAUCAAAUUCCUAAAGAAAUGGAAAGUUUCCCAUGGGAAGCAUCUGUCUAAGUUAUUCUUUCCCCAGUGACCAUUGUUUAGACUAGGUUUAGAAAAACUAUAGACUGCUUCAAAUCAAUUCCAACGCCAGAGACCGAAGAAAGCAUUAGAUCUUUGAACAAAAGAGUAAUAUAUCAGAUAAAAAUGCAGUCAACCUUGUGCUUGUUUCAUCGUGGUCACAAAAAUGUCACCACAGCUCCAGACAUCACAUCUGUGUUUAAGGCAGGAAGAAGGAGAGAGGAGUCUACUCUCUUCUUUUACUUUAUUAGGAUCUGCACUAUCUUUUCUACCAUCCCUCUUACAAACUUUCCUUGACAUUUUAUUGGUCAGAACUGGGUCACAUGGUUUUCCCCUCCUCUUACAAAUAUCUCUGGGAAAGUGAGUAUUGACUUUCCAUUCUCUGUAGCAGGGGUCAGCAAACUUGAAGACUGAGACAGUAAAUAUGUUAGGCUUCGCAGGCCAUUUGGUACAACUACUCACCUCUGCCGUGUGAUGCAAAAGCAGCCAUAGAUGAUGUGUACGUGAAUUAAUGUGACUGUGUUCCAAUACAGCUUUAGCUGUGAGCAAUGAAUUUUGAAUUUCAUGUAAUAUUCAUGAAGUAUUAUUCUUCUUUUGAUCUUUCUUCCACCAUUUAGAAGUGUGGAAAUCAUCCUUGGCUCCUGGGCUAUACAAACACAGAACCCCAGUCCUCUGUGUGAGAGAAGGGUGUGAAUGGCUUUGGAAGGCCCACCACGUGCUGCAGCAAAUAGGCCCUAUACCUUGAAUACAGAUUAUUGAAAAGUGCUGACAUGUUCAAUCUAUCAAGCAGACAUUAAUUUUCCUGAGAUCAACAAAAAGCACCUGCUUCCCAGUCAUGUUCCUUGUCAUGAACACAGUGACGUUUACCAGAUUCAUUUAACUCAGGAAAUCUGUCCUGCUGAUUUCCUGGGUCAGGAAGCCUUAUAUAUUUUACAUAUUUUGUUUUAAGUUGCCCUGUAGUGACUGCAAAACUGGAUCAGACGCUACAUGAGAAAACUCUAGAACAGUCUAGAAGUGUAACCAGAAAAUUAUUGACACUAUAACAAAAGCAUUUGCAUAAUCCCUCAAAGGUCUGUUUGCAUCAACUUCAUAAAAAUUCAGAGACAAAAUUACCCUAGAUACUAGUUAAAACAGGAGAGUGAUGUGUUAGAUACACUGAUCUAAUGAUUAUUCUCUUUGAAAGUAUCUCUAAAAUGUUACAUGUUCAUUUUCUAUUUUCUUUUGAACUUCAUAGUUAAUUUUAUAAUUAUGUUGCAUAUUUCUAUAUAAAUAUUUAAAUAUAUACGUAUAAUUUUAAUAUGAAAUAAUCCUAAUAUAUAUACUAUGGAUAAUAUAUAGAUGUAUAAUAUAUACAUAUCUAUGUAAUCUGAUGUUUCCUUCUUAUAAAAAGAAAUGUAUUGAGUCAUGUAGCUGCAGAGUCUAGGGCUUCAGGCACGAUUCCAGAUGCUCAAGUGAUAUCAUCAGAACUAGUCUUGCAUCAUCUCUCCUCUCUUCUCUCCACUGUGUUGACUUCAUGCUCAGACUCCCUCAAUGGUGGUAAGAUGGGCACCUACAGCUGCAGGCAUACAUCCUACCAGCUUAGCAUUCCCAGAGGAAAAAGACCUGUUCUUUUCCCUAGGAUUGGGUCUCAUUGAACUGACUUAGAUCAUGUGUUCACCCCUGAACACAUCACUGUGGUCAAGAGGUUGGAAUAUGCCGACUGGCCUGGCUUGGGCUGUGUGGUUGAGUGUCCCUCCCUAGAGCCGGCGAUGUUAUGGAGCUGGCUGGUUUGCCUGAACCACAUGGUCAGAGAAUUGAGGAUAAGCACGUCCCCAAAGGAAAAUCAGAGCGAAUGGAUUCUGGAAAGACAAACAACUAUACAAUAACAUUGGCAUUUUACAUUUAAAAAAUAAUAAUAAUAAUUUAUUUAUUUAUUUUUGCUGUGUUGGGUCUUCGUUUCUGUGCGAGGGCUUUCUCUAGUUGUGGCAAGUGGGGGCCACUCUUCACCGCGGUGCGCGGGCCUCUCACUAUCGCGGCCUCUUCUUGUUGCGGAGCACAAACUCCAGACGCGCAGGCUCAGUAGUUGUGGCACACGGGCUUAGUUGCUCCGCGGCAUGUGGGAUCUUCCCAGACCAGGGCUCGAACCCGUGUCCCCUGCAUCGGCAGGUGGACUCUCAACCACUGAACCACCAGGGAAGCCCCUUGCAUUAAUCUUUACUCUUUCAUGAAACCCUACUGACGUGAGAAUAAAGAGAUAAAAAUAGUGAACAGUUGAAAAGUCAAAGAGAACAGGGGAGGAAUAAGAGGAGAAAGUGAUGUCAACCCUAUUUUGCAAAGUGGAAAACAGGUGAACAAGUGGUAACUGACUAGGCAGAACAGGAAAAACAGAAACUUAAUGCCACACAGAGUUGAGGGGGAAUGUCCAGUGAGAAGCAAGCUGAUUCCCAUUGCAGAUUCUCGGAAAGGCCAAACGAUGGAAGGCACCACCUAUCAAAAUUUGGGUGAGGGGAAUUCCCUGGAGGGCCAGUGGCUAGGACUCGGCACUUUCACCACCGUGGCCCAGGUUCAGUCCCUGGUCGGGGAACUAAGAUCCUGCAAGCCGCACGGCAUAGCCAAAAACCAACCAAACAAACAAAAAACAACAAAAAAAGUUGGCUGUGGAGGGGACUAAAAACAGAGAGUAGUCGAAGUUCUCUUGAAGAAGCAGCUCCCAGAUUCCCUGCCCUAGCUUCUGCAGCCUGUCCAUCGCCUCCCUGAAUAAAGCACAAGAGAUUUGCUCUUGGAAAUUCUAGAGGAACUCUGAGCUCUGGGGCGCCAAGCUCAGUGGAGGGGAAUGGGGUGGUGAGGCGCCUUUAAAGCAGAUUGAGUGACAAUCUUCAUAUUGAACGGUAAUUCCCACAGCCUCCUUCUCGCGCUAGGUUCCCAUGAUCCCGGGCAGCCGGUUUUCUAUUACCCCCAAAGGGAGACUGGAGAAUUCCUCUUUGGGGAUGGCAGCCAACCCAAGAGAGAAGACAUAUAGAUUCCAGUCCUUGUGGGUCCCCAUCUGCCACAAUAUAAUGAUGCCGAGCAAUGAAUAAACUCUAUUUACACAGAGCUGCUGGUCAGCUUUUUAGUGGCAGUAAUGGACAUCCAAGAAUCAACUGACAUUUCAAGGAAGGCUUCAACGGGAGCAAAUAUAACAGAUGAGGAACAUGGGAGAGAUGGAGACAGCGGAAGAAAACUUACGAUAAUUUAUAUCUUUAGAGAGAUAAGAGAAAAUUUUGCAACAAUAAAACAAGAACAGAAUACUAUGUAAAAAAGAGGAUUAAGAAAAAAGAUAGUGACAUAACCAUACAGGGAUGAUGGGAGGAGGAGAAAAUAGGUGCGGAAUGUAUGUAUGAGGAAGUCAAAUUCUCCUAUUGUGUAGGAUAGAGCCAACAGAUGGAGUCUAAAUUAAAAGUCAGGAAAUAGCAAUUUAAGCAUGUAAUUUAGAAUAUAGAUAUAAACACAUAAAGAAAGCUAAAUGAGUAGAAAAUUAUUGACUGGAAGUGGGAACUGAGGGUGGUGAAGGUGAGACAGGAGACUGCAGCUUUUUAUUAUAAGCCAAUACUUACUUGAUUUACAAAACCGUGCAUGUAACAUUAAAAUGUGUUUUAACAUUUUUAUUAGUUUUAAUAUUAUUCUAAAAUAGUUUAUAUAUACUUUAAAAUAGCAAAAAUGUUAAUAUCUCAUUUCUUGAAGACUGCUUCCAGGCUUCCCUGGUGGCGCAGUGGUUGAGAGUCCGCCUGCCGAUGCAGGGGACACGGGUUCGUGCCCCGGUCCGGGAAGAUCCCACAUGCCGCGGAGCGGCUGGGCCCGUGAGCCAUGGCCGCUGAGCCUGCGCGUCCGGAGCCUGUGCUGUGCAACGGGAGAGGCCACAGCAGUGAGAGGCCCGCGUACCGCAAAAAAAAAAAAAAAAAAAAAGACUGCUUCCCAAUAAGAUGUUGAGCUAUAAAUGUACCUGAAGUCUCUGUGUGAAGUAAUUAGUGAGAAGAGCAGCACGAUGGACCAGGGGGAAGAAGCAGUUUACAAGGGAGCUCACGGGCUUAAGAUCUGAAGGCAUUUGAAAGAAUCCUGAAACUUUCAGGAGGAAAAGUGGGAAUUCCUGUUUUAAGAAGUCUGAGCAAAUCAUUAUGGACCAAGCUGCCGAAUGUCAACAGGGUUGGCAGGUGCUGUAGAAACUACAGACGCUCUGUUACUAAACCUUUUCGUUUGUAUAUUUUAAUAAUGGGAAGUCUCUUCAGAUAAUAUUGGGGAAUGAAGACUUGCUUUUCCCUUUGAGUUACAACCAGAAGUGCUUUGCAUAGCAACAAGCCAGACGCUCGCUACUGAUUGGCCUCUCAAAACCCCCUCUCCCUGACUGGCAUCCCAGUAAACAGGUCAGAUACUUGCUUUCUCAGUCUUAGUCUCAGCUAAGAGUGCCCACGUGGCCCAGUUCUGGUCAAUGACGUAUAAGGGAGUCUGCUUAGGGGCCUCUGGGAAGUGUUGUCCUUCCUGAUGGGGAGACAGGGCACUGGGAAAGAGAGUCUGCAGGCUGGCUUGGAACAGGGUGAUGAUGUCAUUUUCCAGCUCUCUGUGGACGUCUUCCAACCACAAGGGCAUGACCAAGGGAAUUUCCGAAGACACCAGUCCAAAGCCCGGGCAUCAACAAAUCCCAAACCAAUAUCAGUAACUGUGUAACUCAAGUCUUUCCAAGCCAAAGUGAAUCUGUCUUGCCUGUUUUUUUUUUGUUUUUGGCGGGGGGGACCAAAAGCAUUUCUGCUUUCACCAUUGGUCCAAAUAUGUCAUUGUAUUACUUUCAUAAAUAAUAUUAUGAUCUUGGCGAUUAGGCAGUCUUCCCCGUGGCAACUGAGUGAAGGAAGGCAAAAUGAUCCACUUACAUCAAUAGGAUCAUUCAUUACAUUUGUCCAUUUGUAUGAAAGUUCAAAACAGCUUUUCAAGAAGUGGACCUUGGGACACAGAUGUUGUAGGUGUGAUGAACUAAUGAUUCCCUCAUUCCUGGGGGUUGCUUCGAGGGGACUGGAGUAGCAAGAAUCUUUAGGGCUGCUGGAGCCCCUGGGGCGGUGAUAGAUCCCUCUGGUUGCCUUGUCCAUUUACCCUCAAUGCACUGUACAAACAUCAUCCUUUACUCUGAGUAGCAUCAAGUAAAAUGUGCCAGGAAGCCAUGCGUUGGGACUCACUCAUGGCCUUUACGUGCAUUAUCUCUCUUGGUCUUUGCAGGAGCCUUCUGAAGUUAUUAUUAAUCUCUUCCAAGUGUAGAAACUGAGUCCCUGGAUAAGUUAGAUAUUUGAGGAUUAAAAAAUAAUCAGACAUUCUACCACUAAGAAAAGAAUUUUAUCCUACAAAAUAAGGUUUUUGAAAUCCCCACUCUAGGGUUGGGUCAUUUCCAUCUUUAUCUGUUGAUUCCCAUGACAGACAAUCAGCAAGCAUUUGCUGAGCACUGCUAUGUCCUUAAAGGCCUCAGAGAAGACUCAGUGACCCGAAGUUCCCUGAAAAGCAAGCCAGAAACAGGCAAAAAUGAGAAAAGGGUUCAGCCUAUUAGGUUGGUGCAGGGUGUGAUACUGUUUUGUUUUACAUGGAUAAAGGCUGCUUUAGGGAACUACCUGGCAGUCCAGUGGUUAGGACUCAGUGCUUGCAUUGCAGGGGACCCAGGUUUGAUCCCUGGUCGGAGAGCUAAGGUCCUUCAAGCCACAUGGUAUGGCCAAAAAAAAAAAAAAGGCUGCUCUAAAGUCUGAAGGACAGUGAAGCACAGGAUGUUGAAUGAUCAGGAGGAAGCAGUACUCCUCCCCAGGUCCUUCGACAUCGGCACCCCAAAGAGAAACAAACUGUUAUACAGGAAAUAGUUUACUUCCUGCCUUCAGUCCCUUUUAAAAAAAAUAAAAUAAAAAUAGAUAAUGGAGGGCUUCCCUAGUGGCGCAGUGGUUAAGAAUCCGCCUGCCAAUGCAGGGGACACGGGUUCAAGCCCUGGUCCAGGAAGAUCCCACAUGCCGCCGAACAACUAAGCCCGUGCACCACAACUGCUGAGCCCGCACUGUAGAGUCCACGAGCCACAACUACUGAGCCUGCGAGCCACAACUACUGAAGCCCGCGCACCUAGAGCCUGUGCUCCACAGCAAGGUGAGCCACUGCAAUGAGAAGUCCGUGCACCGCAGUGAAGAGUAGCCCCUGCUCCCCGUAAGUAGAGAAAGGCCACGCACAGCAACGAAGACCCAACACAGCCAAAAAUAAAUAAAUAAAUUUAUUAAAAAAAAAAAAAAGAGAGAUAAUGGAGUGCCCACAUCCACAGCCAUUUGGGUGGCAGAGUCAGAAUUCAGAAGUAGGUCUCCAGACUCCCUCUACAGCUGCGGAGAGAAGAGGCACACUUAUUAUUCCCAGCUCUCCAUCCUCAUGUUACCGCUUCCCUCGGAGGUGACUGGACAAUAACGAACGUUCACAGCAAGAAAGAGACAUGGCAGGAGGCAGCUAGCGGGGCGAUGUACUGGAGGAUGGUUUGCCAACCUCAGAACUGAAAGCUGGGAGAAUGAGGGUGGCUCGGCCAGCUCCAAUCCCUGUAGUCGUGGUCGGUGAGGAUGUGAUGCGACCAGAGAAGCUGGGACAGAAGACAGUGGCCGCAUUGUUCUGCGGGACUGAGGCGGAACGUACUUCCUCACCAUUUGUUUCUCUGGCCUCCUGAACUCCACUAGAUGGCAUUGUCCUCGCCCCGUGCCAGCUGCCCAAGUGGCCUUUUUCUCCAAGGAAAUAAAUCGGAUUGAAAUUGAUUAUACCCAGGGUGUCAUUGACCAAAGCUCUUUGCCUGCAAUCCCAGGAGCUGCCACCAGGUGGUGGUGAGCCAGUUUAGAUGCACAGGCUCCCUUCCAGGGGAAGUGUGAGGGACUGACAAAGCUUAAGCAGUUUUUUUUUUUAACUUCAAAAAAGGAAGAAAAGAAGAAAAGGAAGGAAGGAAGGAAAGGAGGGAGGGAGGGAGGAAGGAACCAAACUACAACGAAAAUGUCAGGACAACAUUAUGAAUUAACAAAAUGCAUCUAUUGAUAAGUUUUUUUCUAAACAGAGCGGCUAGAGACCAACUUUCUUCUCCCUCCCAGCCCGUCCCCUUCCAGUCUCCUCUGCCCCCCUCUCGGAGUUCCUAGCUCAAGGAGUGGGAACAUUUUUUAUGGCUGAUAUUC